rnacentral:rRNA from 1 species
AGCAGUCGCCACGGUAACACGGAGGGUGCAAGCGUUACUCGGAAUCACUGGGCGUAAAGGACGCGUAGGCGGAUUAUCAAGUCUCUUGUGAAAUCUAACGGCUUAACCGUUAAACUGCUUGGGAAACUGAUAAUCUAGAGUAAGGGAGAGGCAGAUGGAAUUCUUGGUGUAGGGGUAAAAUCCGUAGAGAUCAAGAAGAAUACCCAUUGCGAAAGCGAUCUGCUGGAACUUAACUGACACUAAUGCGUGAAAGCGUGGGGAGCAAACAGGAUUAGAGCCCCAGUAGUCCCUGUCUCUUAUACA